AGCGAACAUUGGCGGUAGGCUCAACACAUGCAAGUCGAGCGAGGCGUAAUAGUCGAGCGGCGAACGGGUGCGUAAUACAUGGGAAUCUACCUUGAAGUGGGGGAUAACGUCCAGAAAUGGACGCUAAUACCGCAUAUCCACAUUGGGAAAGCGUCGCGAGCGCUUUAAGAUGAGCCCAUGGCGGAUUCGUUAGGUGGGGAGGUAAUGGCUCACCAAGGCGACGAUCAGUAGCUGGUCAGAGAGGAUGAUCAGCCACACUGGAACUGAGGCACGGUCCAGACUCCUACGGGAGGCAGCAGUGGGGAAUCUUGCGCAAUGGGGGCAGCCCUGACGCAGCCAUACCGCGUGAGUGAUGAAGGUCUUCGGAUUGUAAAGCUCUUUCGGCGGGGACGACGAUGACGGUACCCGCAAAAGAAGUCACGGCUAACUUCGUGCCAGCAGCCGCCGUAA
rnacentral:rRNA from 1 species